AGUGAACGCUGGCGGUAGGCCUAACACAUGCAAGUCGAACGGCAGCACAGUAAGAGCUUGCUCUUACGGGUGGCGAGUGGCGGACGGGUGAGGAAUACAUCGGAAUCUACUUUUUCGUGGGGGAUAACGUAGGGAAACUUACGCUAAUACCGCAUACGACCUACGGUUGAAAGCAGGGGAUCUUCGGACCUUGCGCGAUUAAAUGAGCCGAUGUCGGAUUAGCUAGUUGGCGGGGUAGAGGCCCACCAAGGCGGCGAUCCGUAGCUGGUAUGAGAGGGCGGACAGACACACGGGAACUGAGACACGGUCCAGACUUUGACGGGGGGAAGCAGUGCGGAAUAUUGGACGAGGGGCGCAAGCCUGAUCCUGCCAUACCGGGUGAGUGAAGAAGGCCUGCGGGUUGUAAAGCCCUUUUGUUGGGAAAGAAGAGCAGCAGGUUAAUACCCCGCUGUUCUGACGGUACCCAAAGAAUAAGCACCGGCUAACUUCGUG
rnacentral:rRNA from 1 species